UUUUUUAUUUUUUAAACUUAAUUGCACUUUUGGUCCCCCACGAAUGAUAAAUGUGCAUUUAUGGUCCUAGUGAGGGGUGAGAAUAGUAAAAUGGGGGUGCAAUAAGUAACUUCUGUUAGAAUUUUAACGGAGGGACCAAAAACGCUAACGGAGACAAACGUGUGGGACUGAUUCUGCUAUUUUCAAACGUUUAGGACCAAAAAUGCACAUUUGUUAUUCGUGGGGGACCAAAAGUGCAAUUAAGCCU
rnacentral:lncRNA from 1 species